CCUCUCGCCUCCCCAUAUCGAAAACACGUGUGGAAAUAACAACAGCAUGGCAAGCCAGGGGCUCACCUACGAUGGUUGUAAUUUUUUCAGACAACGACUAGUGUUAUCAACUCUAAGUGGCAAAAGAGUCAAAAUCCGAAACAUACGAUCUAAAGAUGAUAACCCAGGACUUAGAGAUUUUGAAGCCAGCUUCAUCAGGCUUCUGGACAAGGUAACCAAUGGGACCAGAAUAGAAAUCAACCAAACAGGUACGGUGCUGUUCUACCAGCCAGGCCUGCUGUAUGGUGGUGUGGUGGAACAUGAGUGUAACACCCAGCGGUCUGUGGGUUACUACCUGGAAGCUCUACUCAUGCUGGCUCCCUUCAUGAAGAACCCUCUGAAGGCUGUGCUGAAGGGGGUCACCAAUGACCCUACAGACCCCUCGGUUGACCAACUGAAAUAUACGGCCAUUCCUGUGAUGAAGAAGUUUGGGAUUGAUGGAGAGGGGCUGGAACUGAAGGUAGUGAAAAGGGGGAUGGCUCCAGGUGGGGGAGGCGAGGUACUGUUUACGUGUCCCGUUCGCAAGACUCUCCGUCCCGUCCAACUGUCAGACCCCGGCAAGAUCAAGCGGAUCAGAGGAAUAGCAUACUCUGUUAGAGUCUCUCCACAGAUGGCCAACAGAAUAGUGGACUCUGCCAGAAGCAUACUGAACAAAUUCAUUCCUGAUAUCUACAUCUACACAGACCACAUGAAGGGGGACAAGUCUGGAAAGUCUCCAGGCUUUGGCCUGACCUUGGUGGCUGAAACCCUGAACGGGACGUUCCUUAGUGCAGAGCAGGUGUCCACCCCCCAGGGGCAGGGAGACCCUGUGCUGCCUGAGGACCUGGGAAGAAACUGUGCCAAGCUACUGCUGGAGGAGAUCUACAGGGGCGGCUGUAUCGACUCAGCCAAUCAAAGCCUGGCUCUCGUGUACAUGACCUUGGGUCAACAAGAUGUGUCUAAAGCGCUGCUCGGCCACCUCUCUCCAUACACGUGAUCAUAAAGACCUUUGAGCUGCUGUUUGGUGUUUUGAAGGCAUCCCAAAGCACACACUGUCCUCGGAUUGAGUUCCUCAGACACAUGAGAGACUUCUUCCAGAUGAUGUUCAAGAUCGAGACUCAGAAACCAUCGGAGGACGAGAGGAAAGGAGGAGACAAAGUACUGAUGACCUGUGUUGGAGCCGGCUAUACCAACAUCAGCAAAUCAAUCAAAUAAAGACUACAGUAUUUUUC